GAUGAACGCUGGCGGCGUGCCUAAUACAUGCAAGUCGAGCGAACAGACGAUGAGCUUGCUCCGCUGACGUUAGCGGCGGACGGGUGAGUAACACGUGGAUAACCUACCUAUAAGACUGAGAAAACUUCGGGAAACCGGAGCAAAUCGGGGAGAAGAUACUGAAGCGCAGGGGUCGAUAGUGAAAGACGGUUGUGGUGUCACUUAUAGAUGGAUCCGCGCCGCAUUAGCUAGUUGGUAAGGUAACGGCUUAUCAAGGCAAGGAUGCGUAGCCGACCUGUGAGGCUGAUCGCCCACACUGGAACUGAGACACGGUCCAUACUCCUACGGGACGCAGCAGUAGGGAACCUUCCGCAAUGGGCGAAAGCUUGACAGAGCAACGCCGCGUCAGUUAUGAAGGUCUUCGGAUCGUAAAACUCUGUUAUUAGGGAAGAACCACUGUGUACGUAACUAUGCCCGUCUUGACGGUACCUAAUCAGAAAGCCCCGGCUAACUACGUG
rnacentral:rRNA from 1 species